GGCAACGUGGCAGAGUGGUCUAAUGCGUUUGACUCGAACUGUCGAGUGUAUCAAAUCUCCUCGGAGGCGCAUGUUCGAAUCAUGCCGUUGUCG